UGUGGUCCACUCUGACCCCCAGAUCCUUUUCCGCAGUACUUCAUCCUAGGCAGUCAUUUCCCAUUGUGCAUGUGUGCAACGGAUUGUUCCUUCCUACGUGAAGUACUGUGCAUUUGUCCUUAUUGAAUUUCAUCCUGUUGACUAAGACCAUUUCUCCUAUUU